UUAGAGUUUGAUCAUGGCUCAGAACGAACGCUGGCGGCGUGCUUAAUAUAUGCAAGUCGAACGCGAAAGCCCGGGCAACUGGGCGAGUAGAGUGGCGCACGGGUGAGUAACACGUGGGUAACCUACCCUCGAGUGGGGAAUAACUCCUCGAAAGGGGAGCUUAUACCGCAUAAGACCACGACCUCUUCGGAGGUCGCGAUCAAAGGUGGCCUCAUCAAGCAGAGUGUUUGGGACGAUCUUCCCGAGCGGAGGAUAGUCCUUAGCGCUUUGCAGAGUGAAGCUGCUGCUCGAAGAGGGGCCCGCGUCCCAUCAGCUUGUUGGUAGGGUAACGGCCUACCAAGGCGACGACGGGUAGCUGGUCUGAGAGGACGACCAGCCACACGGGAAUUGAGAUACGGUCCCGACUCCUACGGGAGGCAGCAGUGGGGAAUCUUGGGCAAUGGGGGAAACCCUGACCCAGCGACGCCGCGUGGGGGAUGAAGGCUUUCGGGUCGUAAACCCCUGUUAGGUGGGACGAACGUCCUCCUGCAAAUAGCGGGGGGAUUUGACGGUACCACCAGAGAAAGCCCCGGCUAACUCCGUGCCAGCAGCCGCGGUAAUACGGAGGGGGCGAGUGUUGUUCGGAAUUACUGGGCGUAAAGGGCGCGCAGGCGGCCUGGCAAGUCGAGUGUGAAAUCCCUUGGCUUAACUGAGGAAUGGGCGCUCGAAACUACCUCGCUGGAGGGCGGGAGAGGGAAGUGGAACUCUCGGUGUAGGGUGAAAUCUGUAGAUAUCGAGAGGAACACCGGUGGCGAAAGCGGCUUCCUGGCCCGUACCUGACGCUGAGGCGCGAAAGCGUGGGGAGCAAACAGGAUAGAUACCCUGGUAGUCCACGCCCUAAACGAUGGGCACUAGGUGUGGCGGUAUUAAUCCCGCCUGUGCCGUAGCUUAC
rnacentral:rRNA from 1 species